rnacentral:rRNA from 1 species
UACGUAGGGUGCAAGCGUUUAAUCGGAAUUACUGGGCGUAAAGCGUGCGCAGGCGGUUUUGUAAGUCUGUCGUGAAAGCCCCGGGCUCAACCUGGGAAUUGCGAUGGAGACUGCAAGGCUUGAAUCUGGCAGGAGGGGGUAGUAAUUCACGUGUAGCAGUGAAAUGCGUAGAGAUGGUGGAGGGAACACCGGAUGGCGGAAGGCAGCCCCCUGGGUCAAGAUUGACGCUCGAUGACACGAAAGCGUCGGGGAGCAAACAGG